rnacentral:rRNA from 1 species
AUGCACAGCUCCUCCCCCUCCUCCUCCGCCGUCGCGUAUUCUUCCUCGUCUCCAUCACACCUCUCCCCAGCAGACGGCUUCCUCUGCGUGAAGGAGGGGGUCGACGAGAUGAUCAAGCACGUCGCCAAUGAGCCCUCCCUCGGGCUCUACUUCGUCCAGCAGCACGCUCAGGCAUCCAUGCCCAUCCUCCUUGACGUCAAGGGCAAGGUUACAGAAAAGACUCGUGAGAUAACAUUACACACUGAAGAUAUAGAGGAUUCUAUUUGUGCUGUGAGGUCCAUGGCUGAGUUUGGACUUCCAAUUGCUGAUGAUAUGAUAAAGGACAUAAAUAAAUCUCUAAAGAUAAUGUCGAAGACCCAACCAAAGAAAGGGUUAAUCCAGAACCCCAUUUGGGGGUUCCAAUCAGACAAAAGCUCGGAAGCAUGGAACGAUUUGGACGCAACUAAUGGUGGAAGUAGCAAGAACUAUUUGUCUUCCAUGUUGAACACCGCAAAGCAAAAGGCAUCGAGUCUCAGAUGGCCACAGACUGAUUUCGCUAUGAACGAUGGCGUUAGUGAGAAGUCAGUGUCAUCUACAGCUCAGGAGUCGUCACAAGCCGGAGGACAUGGUGCGUCAACACCCUCGGAUGCAGAAAGGGACGAAGUCUCCAUUUCAAGCCGAUUGUUGGAAAAUAAAAAUGCAGGUACUAUGAACCAGGGCCUGUCUGCUUCUGAUAUCUCCCACACGGCGGAGAGCUACAACAAGUUCAAAGAAGAACAGGAACUGAAACUGCAAGAGUGGCUCAGGGAGUCGAAAGAAGCUGACGAUAAUAGAGGUUGA